UUCCAUCUAAAGCUAAAUAUUGGCGAGAGACCGAUAGCGAACAAGUACCGUGAGGGAAAGAUGAAAAGCACUUUGGAAAGAGAGUUAAACAGUACGUGAAAUUGUUGAAAGGGAAACGCUUGAAGUCAGUCGCGUUGUCUGAGACUCAGCCUUGCUUGCUUGGUGUACUUCUCAGUUGACGGGUCAACAUCAAUUUUGGUUGGUGGAUAAAGGCGGGGGGAAUGUGGCACCUUCGGGUGUGUUAUAGCCCUUUGUUGCAUACACUGACUGGGAUUGAGGAACGCAGCACGCCUUCAAUGGCCGGGGGUUCGCCUCACGUAACGUGCUUAGGAUGUUGGCAUAAUGGCUUUAAGCGACCCGUCUUGAAACACGGACCAAGGAGUCUAACAUGCUCGCGAGUGUUAGGGUGGAAAACCCUUGCGCGUAAUGAAAGUGAAAGUUGGGACCCUUUGCGGGGGCACCGACGCCCGGCCCUGAAGUAUUCUGACGGUGCUGCGGUAGAGCGCGUAUGUUGGGACCCGAAAGAUGGUGAACUAUGCCUGAAUAGGGUGAAGCCAGGGGAAACUCUGGUGGAGGCUCGUAGCGAUUCUGACGUGCAAAUCGAUCGUCA
rnacentral:rRNA from 1 species